UACGGGGGGAGCAAGCGUUGUUCGGAUUUACUGGGCGUAAAGGGCGCGUAGGCGGCGUGACAAGUCACUUGUGAAAUCUCUGAGCUUAACUCAGAACGGCCAAGUGAAACUGUCGUGCUAGAGUGCAGAAGGGGCAAUCGGAAUUCUUGGUGUAGCGGUGAAAUGCGUAGAUAUCAAGAGGAACACCUGAGGUGAAGACGGGUUGCUGGGCUGACACUGACGCUGAUGCGCGAAGGCCAGGGGAGCAAACGGG
rnacentral:rRNA from 1 species